rnacentral:rRNA from 1 species
UACGGGAGGCAGCAGUGGGGAAUAUUGCACAAUGGGCGCAAGCCUGAUGCAGCCAUGCCGCGUGUAUGAAGAAGGCCUUCGGGUUGUAAAGUACUUUCAGUCGUGAGGAAGGUGUUAAGGUUAAUAACCUUAGCAAUUGACGUUAGCGACAGAAGAAGCACCGGCUAACUCCGUGCCAGCAGCCGCGGUAAUACGGAGGGUGCGAGCGUUAAUCGGAAUUACUGGGCGUAAAGGGCACGCAGGCGGUUAAUUAAGUUGGAUGUGAAAUCCCCAGGGCUUAACCUGGGAAUGGCAUUCAAGACUGGUUAGCUAGAGUCUUGUAGAGGGGGUAGAAUUCCAUGUGUAGCGGUGAAAUGCGUAGAGAUGUGGAGGAAUACCGGUGGCGAAGGCGGCCCCUGGGACAAAGACUGACGCUCAUGUGCGAAAGCGUGGGGAGCGAAACAGGGAUUAGAUACC